UUCCGGUUGAUCCUGCCGGAGGCCAUUGCUAUCGGAGUUCGAUUUAGCCAUGCUAGUCGCACGGGUUUAGACCCGUGGCAGAUAGCUCAGUGACACGUGGCCAAACUACCCUAUGGAUCGCGAUAACCUCGGGAAACUGAGGCUAAUCGCGAAUACGGCUCCCACGCUGGAACAGCGGGGAGCUGGAAACGUUCCGGCGCCAUAGGAUGUGGCUGCGGCCGAUUAGGUAGACGGUGGGGUAACGGCCCACCGUGCCGAUAAUCGGUACGGGUUGUGAGAGCAAGAGCCCGGAGACGGUAUCUGAGACAAGAUACCGGGCCCUACGGGGCGCAGCAGGCGCGAAACCUUUACACUGCACGACAGUGCGAUAGGGGGACUCCGAGUGCGAGGGCAUAUAGUCCUCGCUUUUCUGUACCGUAAGGUGGUACAGGAACAAGUGCUGGGCAAGACCGGUGCCAGCCGCCGCGGUAAUACCGGCAGCACGAGUGAUGGCCGCUAUUAUUGGGCCUAAAGCGUCCGUAGCCGGCCGGUCAAGUUCGUCGGGAAAUCUGCCCGCUCAACGGGCAGGCGUCCGGCGAAAACUGAUCGGCUUGGGGCCAGAAGACCUGAGGGGUACGUCCGGGGUAGGAGUGAAAUCCCGUAAUCCUGGACGGACCACCGGUGGCGAAAGCGCCUCAGGAAGAUGGACCCGACGGUGAGGGACGAAAGCUAGGGUCUCGAACCGGAUUAGAUACCCGGGUAGUCCUAGCCGUAAACGAUGCUCACUAGGUGUGGCGCA
rnacentral:rRNA from 1 species